rfam:Salmo salar isolate Sally breed double haploid chromosome ssa22, whole genome shotgun sequence.
CUAAAACCCCAGCGUAAGUCGCUCUGGAUAAGAGCGUCUGCUAAAUGACUCAAA